CCGGAAUCCUGGCGUGAAGGCAAAUCUUCUGGGCUGAAUGGGGCGGAGCUUAAACUUGGAACUGGGAGUCCUGUGGGAAGAUGUUGAAUCAACCUUGUGUUCCUGAAAUAAAUUCUCUUGGUCAUGAUGGGAUCUCACUAUGUUGCCCAGGCUUGCCCUGGGCUCAAGAGAUUCUGUAUCAACCUCUGGAGUAGCUGGACUACAGGAGCACAACACCACACCCAGCUCUUCCCUUGAUUUUAAAGGAAUUCAACUUGCCAUAUAUCCUUUGCCUCAACCUUCAAGUAGCCUUUGCCUAACAUCUAUCAACAUAGCAAUUUGCUCUUCCUUCUGACAUCUUUAGGUCUGGGAACACAGAGGUACAAUAUUUUGUGGAUUAGUUUACUGGGUGACCACCCCUAUUCCGUGGGACUGAGGCCUAGCUCUGGUUUUCCAGGAGUGGAGCCUAGGAU